ACUCAAAUGAAUUGACGGGGGCCCGCACAAGCGGUGGAGCAUGUGGUUUAAUUCGAUGCAACGCGAAGAACCUUACCUACCCUUGACAUGUCAGGAAUCUGGGUUAAGAGCCCGGAGUGCCGAAAGGAACCUGAACACAGGUGCUGCAUGGCUGUCGUCAGCUCGUGUCGUGAGAUGUUGGGUUAAGUCCCGUAACGAGCGCAACCCCUAUGCUUCGUUGCCAUGCCGAAAGGCGGAACUCGAAGCAGACUGCCGGUGACAAACCGGAGGAAGGUGGGGAUGACGUCAAGUCAUCAUGGCCUUUAUGGGUAGGGCUACACACGUGCUACAAUGGGGCGUACAGAGGGAAGCCAACCCGCGAGGGGGAGCUAAUCCUUUAAAAUGUCUCGUAGUCCGGAUUGGAGUCUGCAACUCGACUCCAUGAAGUUGGAAUCGCUAGUAAUCGCGGAUCAGAAUGCCGCGGUGAAUACGUUCCCGGGCCUUGUACACACCGCCCGU
rnacentral:rRNA from 1 species